AAUGCAUCAGCAACUACAUUGUCC
rnacentral:siRNA from 1 species